rnacentral:SRP_RNA from 1 species
GCUGGGUGUGGUGGUGUGUGCCUGUGGUCCCAGCCACAUGGGAGGCUGAGGCAUGGGGAUCACUUGAGCCCAGGAGGUUUAGGCUGCAGUGAGCUGUGUUCGUGACACUGCACUCCAGCCUGGGCAACAGAGCAAGACCCUGUCUCAA